CACCUUUCUGCCUUGUGCAGGACAUACUGCGGCUUACAUGCCUGGGACUCAACUGCCAGCGUCCGGUGUGGGAUCAGAGAAUUCAAGGGAUAAAAUAGAGAAGAGGACAAAUGUGAAACAGCACACAGUUGUGCACAGAUGAAGGAAAAAUGCCCCUGGGUAAAGGAAAAGGCCAGGAAGGGAAGAGGUUUCUUCAUCUGUCAGGGUGACAACGAACAUGUUCCAUGUAGCGUUCAUGAAAGGGGUUGAAGGAAGAACACUGCUAUUUGUAUUUUCUCUAAGCAGCCUGUGAUACGGAAUGGACCAGCUGGUCUGAACCCUUCCAGGCACUCACAGUGGGUUUGGGAAAGAGCCCUCUGUGUUCUUCUCACCAGUCAAGCAUGUGAAGGAGGGUAUGAAAAGGCACAGAGAGCCAUGGGGCCCAGAAAAUUCCGUCAAUCCAUCGCCUGCCUCCUCUGCAGCAGGCUCUGCCAAUCUGUCCACAGUUCCAGGGGCAGGUAGAGAGAGGGAUGUGAGGCAAUAAGUGGAAAUAGGAGCUGUGUGUGCCUUUGUGUGUGUGUGUGUGUGUGUGUGUGUGUGUGUGUCCGUCCAAGCACACAGACAGGACUAGCAAUAGAAGAGCAGGCAAGAGGGCGUGGGAGUCUGGGAACUCAUUUAUAAAAGCUCUUCUGCCCUAAAGCAAGUCAAACUCCCUGCUGAGGAGUUGCUUUUUCUUCCUCCCUUUUGAGUCUUCUGUGCAGAACUGACCUCUCCCCCCAGCAGAGGUCAGCGCCCUGCUUGCCCUGCACACACUCAGCCUUCUGGGUCUUGCUUGACUUUGAGCCUGCACGGGAGAGCAGUCCUCAGCUCUAACUUCUGACAGAAAAGCUAUGGAAAAUGUCCUGAAAAAGCUUUUUUUUUUUAAAAGAAAUAUGUAUGUACAUUAUGAUAAAAAAAAUCUUCUGGGAACUGUGCAGAACACAAAAAGCAAGCCUAAGAAUUGUACAUCAUCGCAGAGCCCCCUCCCACAGCCUACUUCACCCCCUAAAAUAAAUCAGGCAGGGUAAUGAAUGAGGUUUAAAGAAAUGUAACUGAACUUAAAAUACAAGGUCAGUAUCUCAUCCUAGGUAAUCCUUUGGAGGAUGAGAAAUUCUCCUGAUUUUCCCACAGGGUUAUUUCAGAUGUGCUUCCUGAGCCAAACUAUUUUAAAAGCGUUCAUUCUUCCACUGCUCUGCCAAAUGCUAACUUGAGAUUCACAUGCACUUUCAGAGAGCCUAUUAAUGAUAUUAAUGAUCAUGGAUCAAAGGCAGACUCCAGAGGUUUAUGUAAGAAUUUCAGACAAUUAUUUAGGUGCUUUAAAAACUCAUCUUACAAAUGAGGGUAACAGUUUCCCAAUGUUGGCACAGACUAAGUGUUGUGUUCACAUGUGUAGGGGCUAAAGUAGCAGAACAAAUGCAGAGGGGCCUUAGGAGGAAACAAAACAUCUUUUUAUAUGAUUUAAACUUAAGACUACUGACACCUUGUCCCCACAGCCUUUCCUACUUGUUUGGAAGUAGGUAUACUUGGAUUUGCAGGAAUUCCUUCUUGAAGGGUUACUCAGGUCUUAGCUCACCCUGUCUCUUUUAACAUCUAAUACACACACACAAACAUUAAAAAAAGAAUAGUUUCACAUGAAAAUCAUUAUUGAUGGGCUUUAAAACAAGGUCCAGGCCUAACCUUAGUGAUUGGGAAUAAACUAGAACCUACCCAGGUGAUUCCAGUGUGUGGCAUGUUCACCUGAGUACUCGGAGGUAUGGAUGGCACUUAAAAUAUUUUUAUUUGACAUACAAAGAAACAGGCCUGGAAGGUUGAAUAGCAACUUGGACCCAGUUUUCAGCUUGCAGCACCCUGCUGUUAAGCAGUCCCAAACCUAGGCCCCAUGUCCAGUGCAGGGCCACGUGGUGAGCCACCAUGACCAGGAACAUGAAGGAUGGGUUAAGCUUUAUCAUUUGUAGUCACUUUCUGCACUUCAUGCAUGGCUCUUUAAAUGUAUAAUGAAAUACUUCAUGUACAGGCCACAGGGGAAAUUUAAUUACAAGUGACCAGAGAGGCUUAGGAUCCUGAAAUAGAAGGCAAUGUG